UCCGCCUUGGAGGCGGCAGUCUCCUAUGAAAAAGCAACAUAGGAUGAGGGUUGCGCUCGUUUGCUGACUUAACAGUACACCUCAAGGCACGAGCUGACGACGACCGUGCAUCACCUGUCAUCGGAUUCCUUGCGGCACUCCGAUCUUUCGAUCAGAUUCCCGAGAUGUCAAGCCUGGGUGAGGUGCUCCGCUUAUCAUCGAAUUAAACCCCAUGCUCCACCGCUUGUGUGGGUCCCCGUCUAUUCCUUUAAGUUUUAGCCUUGCGGCCGUACUACUCAGGCGGUGUGCUUACCGCGUUAGCUUAAGGCACGGGGGACAAUUGAAAUCCCCCACACCGAGCACACAUCGUUUAGGGCGUGGACUA
rnacentral:misc_RNA from 1 species